rnacentral:rRNA from 1 species
UACGGGGGGAGCAAGCGUUGUUCGGAUUUACUGGGCGUAAAGGGCGCGUAGGCGGCCAGCACAAGUCAGUUGUGAAAUCUCCGAGCUUAACUCGGAAAGGUCAACUGAUACUGUGCGGCUAGAGUGCGGAAGGGGCAACUGGAAUUCUUGGUGUAGCGGUGAAAUGCGUAGAUAUCAAGAGGAACACCGGUGGCGAAGGCGGUUCUCUGGGCCUUACCUGACGCUGAGGAGCGAAAGCGUGGGGAGCGAACAGG